GACGAACGCUGGCGGCGUGCUUAACACAUGCCAGUCGAACGGAAAGGCCCUGCUUUUGUGGGGUGCUCGAGUGGCGAACGGGUGAGUAACACGUGAGUAACCUGCCCUUGACUUUGGGAUAACUUCAGGAAACUGGGGCUAAUACCGGAUAGGAGCUCCUGCUGCAUGGUGGGGGUUGGAAAGUUUCGGCGGUUGGGGAUGGACUCGCGGCUUAUCAGCUUGUUGGUGGGGUAGUGGCUUACCAAGGCUUUGACGGGUAGCCGGCCUGAGAGGGUGACCGGCCACAUUGGGACUGAGAUACGGCCCAGACUCCUACGGGAGGCAGGAGUGGGGAAGAUUGCACAAGGGGCGGAAGCCUGAUGCAGCAACGCCGCGUGCGGGAUGACGGCCUUCGGGUUGUAAACCGCUUUCGCCUGUGACGAAGCGUGAGUGACGGUAAUGGGUAAAGAAGCACCGGCUAACUACGUG
rnacentral:rRNA from 1 species